UGGAGGCAGCAGUAAGGAAUAUUGGACAAUGGCCGCAAGCCUGAUCCAGCAAUACCGCGUGUGUGAAGAAGGCCUUCGGGUUGUAAAGCACUUUCAAUUGGGAGGAAAACCUAUCGGCUAAUACCCGGUAGCUUGACAUUACCUUUAGAAGAAGCACCGGCUAACUCCGUGCCAGCAGCCGCGGUAAUACGGAGGGUGCAAGCGUUAAUCGGAAUUACUGGGCGUAAAGCGUGCGUAGGCGGUUCGUUAAGUCAGAUGUGAAAGCCCCGGGCUCAACCUGGGAACUGCAUUUGAAACUGGCGGACUAGAGUUUAGUAGAGGGGAGUGGAAUUUCAGGCGUAGCGGUGAAAUGCGUAGAUAUCUGAAGGAACACCAGUGGCGAGGCGACUCCCUGGACUAAAACUGACGCUGAGGUACGAAAGCGUGGGUAGCAAACAGGAUUAGAUACCCUGGUAGA
rnacentral:rRNA from 1 species